GGUUCGGUAGCUCAGCUGGAUAGAGCAUCCGCCUUCUAAGCGGAUUGUCGAGAGUUCGAAUCUCUCCCGAAUCACCA
rnacentral:tRNA from 5 species